UGCCAACCCACGGCGUGUGGGCAAAUUAACAAGAUUUUUUGGUCAAGAGCCACCAUUACUGGAACUGUUUUUAAAGAAAUUAGGUUAUGAGAAAUACGUAAAGAACUUUGACAAUGAACAGAUCACAAUGAUUGAGUUACCCUACAUGACUGAAGAUAGACUGGAUAAAAUUGGAAUCCCCAUGGGUCCAAGAAUGAGAAUCCUUCAAGAAGCACAGCUUUGCGUGAAGAAAGGAGACUUUGAUAUUUAUUUUGUAUGAUGCAUAUGCCACUCGGGAGAGAGUGUAGAAAGACUAUUCAUCUUGUACUCAAUAUGUCUCAAUCAGGUCAUGGUGAAGCUGCAUAUUUUUUGGCUUGGCUAUUAAAGCAGCCUUCAAUUUUGUGCCUCAACACCGGAGUAAUUUUGUGCACAAUGUUUCGCAGAUUUAGUGCUGAUCUAGUUGCAGUCACUUCCAAACAGGAAGUAGAUCUAAAGUGAAAUUGAAAGUAAGGUGAUCCGUUUAUUUUAUGCUGUAAAAAAAAUGGCGGACUCAUUCUUUUCACUAACAUGGCAGAAUUCUCGUGAAAAUCUAAUUACCUGUAGAUACAAUGUUUAAUCCUGAUACUUAUAUUUAUUGAUGCGUAAAUAAAAAAAAAGAUUCAAAGUCAAGGACUAAGUUAUUGCCACAAAGUCAUUGAAUAAAUUCAGUGUUUUGAUCAUGUCA
rnacentral:sRNA from 1 species